rnacentral:sRNA from 2 species
UCCAUAAGCCUGCCGAGUCCUCCUGCCCGGAGGAGCGGGGAAACCAAUGCGGUGGCGUCCGACGUCGCCGCUGGGGCGAAUCCGAGCACAGGUGCUCGGUAGCGCGGCCCUUUCAGCGCGAGCCCGUCAGCUAACCCCGUAGGCCGUCACGAAAGGGGCA